ACUCCUACGGGAGGCAGCAGUGGGGAAUAUUGCACAAUGGGCGNAAGCCUGAUGCAGCCAUGCCGCGUGUAUGAAGAAGGCCUUCGGGUUGUAAAGUACUUUCAGUCGUGAGGAAGGUAGUGUCGUUAAUAGCUGCAUUAUUUGACGUUAGCGACAGAAGAAGCACCGGCUAACUCCGUGCCAGCAGCCGCGGUAAUAC
rnacentral:rRNA from 1 species